rnacentral:misc_RNA from 1 species
GAUGAAGAACGUAGCGAAAUGCGAUAAGUAAUGUGAAUUGCAGAAUUCAGUGAAUCAUCGAAUCUUUGAACGCACAUUGCGCCCGCCAGUAUUCUGGCGGGCAUGCCUGUUCGAGCGUCAUUUCAACCCUCAGGCCCCGCCUGGCGUUGGGGAUCGGCGCGGCCCUCUCCGGGCUGCCGGCCCCGAAAACUAGUGGCGGUCUCGCUGUAGUCCUCCUCUGCGCAGUAGCAACGCUCGCACUGGAACUCGGCGCAGCCACGCCGUAAAACACCCCACUUCUGAAAGUUGACCUCGGAUCAGGUAGGAAUACCCGCUGAACUUAAGCAUAUCAAUAAGCGGAGGA